CUGUCUAUGACCACCUGCAAUGCCAACCUUGUCCUUCAAAAUGACAACGCCAGACUCACGGCAGAUGACUUCAAGAUGAAGUAUGAAAAUGAACUGGCCCUGCACCAGAGUGUUGAGGCGGACACCAACGGUCUUCGCAGAGUGUUGGACGAGCUGACGCUGUCCACAACCGACUUAGAAAUACAACGUGAGGCUCUGAGCGAGGAGCUGACGUACCUCCAAAAGAACCAUGAGGAGGAAAUGGGAGUUCUGCAAAAUGCAUCAGGGGGGAACAUCAAUGUGGAGAUG
rnacentral:lncRNA from 1 species